rnacentral:rRNA from 1 species
UAAGUCAGUCAUAUCACCCUGCAGCCCAAGACUGGUUGCCCACUGAAGCUAAGCAGGGUUGAGCCUGGUCAGUACCUGGAUGGGAGACCUCCUGGGAAAACUAGGUUGCUGCUGGAA